AUCUUCACACUAAUUUUAAAUGCUUAUUUGAAGUUUCGUUUCUGAAAGAAUCGCAUAGUGUUGAGGAUGCUGGGGGCAGACUAGUAGAAUUCAUUCUUCAGGCGAGGAUUAUUGAAAAUCAGUGCAUGAUUUUCCGAAUUGAAGGCCUUGAGAUUUAAAAGAGGUUUUUACCUCCUCUAGUUAGAGGGAAUACAUUUAGAGUUCAACUUCAAGAGAACUGGUGCAAUGAAUUUUGUGGCUUCUUUAUGUGUGUGGUUUCUCGAUAUUGCCCGCGUGAUGUUUUAAUAACAAUGGAACAGGUUAUGAGAGGUGCGACGGUUAAUUAUACCGAUUCUCAGUACGAUGACGUGGCUUGGAAUGGGAGCAUUGGUGGCUGUAAAAUAACAUGGGAGCGAUGUGAUGAUGAGAAUGAGAGUAUUGAUGAUGAAGAUUGGAAUGAGAGUGAGGCUGGCUGUGAAAGAACAUGGUUGGGAUAUGUUCCGUUUGGUUUAUUGAAGCACACUUUAUGGUGGAAUGAAACAUACCCUGCCAUUUCAUUUU